rnacentral:rRNA from 1 species
GAUGAACGCUGGCGGCGUGCCUAAUACAUGCAAGUCGAGCGAACAGACGAGGAGCUUGCUCCUCUGAUGUUAGCGGCGGACGGGUGAGUAACACGUGGAUAACCUACCUAUAAGACUGGGAUAACUUCGGGAAACCGGAGCUAAUACCGGAUAACAUGUUGAACCGCAUGGUUCAACAGUGAAAGACGGUCUUGCUGUCACUUAUAGAUGGAUCCGCGCCGCAUUAGCUAGUUGGUAAGGUAACGGCUUACCAAGGCAACGAUGCGUAGCCGACCUGAGAGGGUGAUCGGCCACACUGGAACUGAGGCACGGUCCAGACUCCUACGGGAGGCAGCAGUAGGGAAUCUUCCGCAAUGGGCGAAAGCCUGACGGAGCAACGCCGCGUGAGUGAAGAAGGUCUUCGGAUCGUAAAACUCUGUUAUUAGGGAAGAACAAAUGUGUAAGUAACUAUGCACGUCUUGACGGUACCUAAUCAGAAAGCCACGGCUAACUACGUG